ensembl:lncRNA
CUACAGCCAUGGUUGCCAGGGUAGCGGUUUUCCCGCACAAUUGGGCUAUUUUAGAAAAGGAGUUGCGGGAAAAAAUACGGAGUUGCGGGUUGCGGUUUUUUGGGCUACAUUUAUAAUGUACCGCGGCCGCAAAAAAAUAAAUAAAUAAAAUAAAAUAAUUGUGGACAAAGAUAAAAGUGAACCUUUUAUUAGUGGGUGUUGAUCCCCGGGAAUGAAUACUUGGCAACAAACGCUGCUUCUCGCAAGAUGCGAGUAGGCGCGCGCACCACAUGUGCUUUGACAUCACAAAAAAGAAAAAAGAGAAGACAAGCAACAACAAAAACAAAGGGAAAAGUGUUCAAGUUCACCCAAACAGACGCAGAGCUGGAGAGAAAAGCAUCAGAAAGAAGUGCUGAGAAGAGAAAAAGCCCUUUGUGGGAAUCCAGCCGUUGUCUAAUCUGAUUGGACACUGAAAAUUUGGGCUAGUUUUCAUUCCAUUUGGGCGGGUUUUGAGUUGUCAUUGGGCUGGAAAUAUUUCUGGGACCUGGCAACCCUGUCUACAGC